GAGGGGGGAGAUCACUGUGCAGCCCCCCCCGCAUGAUAUGGACUCAGUGGUGAGGCUGCACCCAACCCUGACUCAGUGCAAGGACUGGGCCUGCCUCAGAAAUGCCCCAGGGCCCUUCCCCUCCACGCCAGGUAUACUAGGUGUGGGCAGGAAGGCUCAGCAAGGCAGGGAACAAGUGUGGCAGCGCAU